GUAAAGUAAUGUAUGUAAAGUAAUGCAUAUAAAGUAAUGUACUAGGAUCGUGACUAAAACACCACACGAGUACAUACGAGUAACAUACGAGUAACACACAAGUACAUACGAGUAACAUACGAGUACAUACGAGUAACACACGAGUAACAUACAAGUACACACGAGUAACAUACGAGUACACACGAGUAACAUACGAGUAAAUACGAGUACAUACAAGUA